rnacentral:rRNA from 1 species
UAGGGAAUCUUCCGCAAUGGGCGAAAGCCUGACGGAGCAACGCCGCGUGAGUGAUGAAGGUCUUCGGAUCGUAAAACUCUGUUAUUAGGGAAGAACAAAUGUGUAAGUAACUAUGCACGUCUUGACGGUACCUAAUCAGAAAGCCACGGCUAACUACGUGCCAGCAGCCGCGGUAAUACGUAGGUGGCAAGCGUUAUCCGGAAUUAUUGGGCGUAAAGCGCGCGUAGGCGGUUUUUUAAGUCUGAUGUGAAAGCCCACGGCUCAACCGUGGGGGGUCAUUGGAAACUGGAAAACUUGAGUGCAGAAGAGGAAAGUGGAAUUCCAUGUGUAGCGGUGAAAUGCGCAGAGAUAUGGAGGAACACCAGUGGCGAAGGCGACUUUCUGGUCUGUAACUGACGCUGAUGUGCGAAAGCGUGGGGAUCAAACAGG